rnacentral:rRNA from 1 species
CCUANGGGUGGCAGCAGUUACGAAAACUUGGCAAUGCGGGAAACCGCGACCAGGGGACUCCAAGUGCUAAUACUUUGUAUUAGCUGUUCUUCUGUCUAAAAAACAGGAGAAGUAAGGGCUGGGUAAGACGGGUGCCAGCCGCCGCGGUAAUACCCGCAGCCCGAGUGGUGGUCAUUAUUAUUGAGCCUAAAGCGUCCGUAGCCGGACUCGUAAAUCCUUGGGUAAAUCGGGCAGCUCAACUGUCCGAAUUCCGAGGAGACUGCGAGUCUUGGGACCGGGAGAGGUUAGAGGUACUCCAGGGGUAAGGGCUAAAUCUUGUAAUCCUUGGGGGACCACCAGUGGCGAAGGCGUCUAACUAGAACGGAUCCGACGGUAAGGGACGAAACCCUGGGGCGCAAACGGGAUUAGAUACCCGGNUANUC